GAUGAACGCUAGCGGCAGGCCUAACACAUGCAAGUCGAGGGGCAGCAGGGGUAGCAAUACCCGCUGGCGACCGGCGCACGGGUGCGUAACGCGUAUGCAACCUGCCCUGCACCGGGGGAUAGCCCGCCGAAAGGCGGAUUAAUACCCCAUGUACCCGGUUGUCCGCAUGGGCAAGCGGGUAAAGCCGAGGCGGUGCGGGAUGGGCAUGCGUGCCAUUAGCUGGCUGGUGGGGUAACGGCCCACCAGGGCUACGAUGGCUAGGGGGUCUGAGAGGAUGGUCCCCCACACUGGUACUGAGACACGGACCAGACUCCUACGGGAGGCAGCAGUGAGGGGUAUUGGUCAAUGGGCGGAAGCCUGAACCAGCCAUGCCGCGUGCGGGAGGAAGGCCCUACGGGUUGUAAACCGCUUUUCCGGGGGAAGAAUAUGCCCGACGAGUCGGGCGAUGCCGGUACCCCGGGAAUAAGGAUCGGCUAACUCCGUGCCAGCAGCCGCGGUAAUACGGAGGAUCCGAGCGUUAUCCGGAUUUACUGGGUUUAAAGGGUGCGUAGGCGGCCCGGGCAAGUCAGCGGUGAAAUGAGGCGGCUCAACCGUUUCGCUGCCGUUGAUACUGCGGGGCUUGGAUACGGUCGGGGCGGGUGGAAUUCGUGGUGUAGCGGUGAAAUGCAUAGAUAUCACGAGGAACGCCGGUAGCGAAGGCAGCUCGCCGGGCCGAGAUCGACGCUGAGGCACGAAAGCGUGGGGAUCAAACA
rnacentral:rRNA from 1 species